CUAACUACGUGCCAGCAGCCGCGGUAAUACGUAGGGUGCAAGCGUUAUCCGGAUUUAUUGGGCGUAAAGGGCUCGUAGGCGGUUCGUCGCGUCCGGUGUGAAAGUCCAUCGCUUAACGGUGGAUCCGCGCCGGGUACGGGCGGGCUUGAGUGCGGUAGGGGAGACUGGAAUUCCCGGUGUAACGGUGGAAUGUGUAGAUAUCGGGAAGAACACCAAUGGCGAAGGCAGGUCUCUGGGCCGUUACUGACGCUGAGGAGCGAAAGCGUGGGGAGCGAACAGGAUUAGAUACCCUGGUAGUCCACGCCGUAAACGGUGGAUGCUGGAUGUGGGGCCCUUUUUCCGGGUCCUGUGUCGGAGCUAACGCGUUAAGCAUCCCGCCUGGGGAGUACGGCCGCAAGGCUAAAACUCAAAGAAAUUGACGGGGGCCCGCACAAGCGGCGGAGCAUGCGGAUUAAUUCGAUGCAACGCGAAGAACCUUACCUGGGCUUGACAUGUGCCUGACGAUCCCGGAGACGGGGUUUCCCUUCGGGGCGGGUUCACAGGUGGUGCAUGGUCGUCGUCAGCUCGUGUCGUGAGAUGUUGGGUUAAGUCCCGCAACGAGCGCAACCCUCGCCGCGUGUUGCCAGCGGGUCAUGCCGGGAACUCACGUGGGACCGCCGGGGUUAACUCGGAGGAAGGUGGGGAUGACGUCAGAUCAUCAUGCCCCUUACGUCCAGGGCUUCACGCAUGCUACAAUGGCCGGUACAACGGGGUGCGACACGGUGACGUGGGGCGGAUCCCUGAAAACCGGUCUCAGUUCGGAUCGCAGUCUGCAACUCGACUGCGUGAAGGUGGAGUCGCUAGUAAUCGCGGAUCAGCAACGCCGCGGUGAAUGCGUUCCCGGGCCUUGUACACACCGCCCGUCAAGUCAUGAAAGUGGGCAGCACCCGAAGACGGUGGCCUAACCCUUGUGGGGGGAGCCGUCUAAGGUGAGGCUCGUGAUUGGGACUAAGUCGUAACAAGGUAGCCGUACCGGAAGGUGCGGCUGGAUCACCU
rnacentral:rRNA from 1 species